rnacentral:SRP_RNA from 1 species
GCCAGGCGCGGUGGCACGUGCCUGUAGUCCCAGCUACUCGGGAGGCUGAGGUGGGAAGAUGGCUUGAACCCAGGAGUUCUGGGCUGUAGUGCGCUAUGCCGAUCAGGUGUCCGCACUAAGUUAGGCAUUAAUAUGGUGACCUCCCAGGAGCGGGGGACCACCAGGUUGCCUAAAGAGGGAUGAACUGGCCCAGGUCGGAAACGGAGCAGGUCAAAACUCCCGUGCUGAUCAGUAGUGGGAUUGCACCUGUGAAUAGCCACUGCACUCCAGCCUGGGCAACAUAGCGAGACCCCGUCUCA